AUCUUCAGUUAUAGUUUCGGUAAAGCACCAGUUAUCCGUACGAUCGUUCAAGUUAAGCCCGGAAGCGUCUCAUUAGUACCGGGGUGGGAGACCACCUGGGAAUCCUGAGCUUCGAAAUUU
rfam:Cryptococcus depauperatus CBS 7841 supercont1.5, whole genome shotgun sequence.